rnacentral:rRNA from 1 species
AUGUGGAUGCGUCUCUUGUUUCCCGCGCUGCUCGUCGCAACAAUGUCGGCCCCCGUGGCGGAUUCCCUCACCGUGUCGCCGGGAUGUGUAGGUAGAUGCGGCGACGUCGACAUCCCCUACCCCUUCGGCAUCGGCAGCGGCUGCUUCCGCAAGGGCUUCGAGAUCUCCUGCGUCAACAACACCAUGCCGGUCAUGGCGGGCACCACCCAGCGGGUGCUGAACCUGACCCUGUCGCCGCGUCCCGAGGCCCGGGUGAUGCUGCCGAUUGCGUGGCAGUGCUUCAACUCCACCGGCGACGUCACCGGGGACUUCGACGGCAAGGUGAACAUGAACCCAGAAGGCGUGUACCGCAUCUCCAGCGAGCUCAACCAGCUCGUCCUCCUUGGCUGCAACACCUUCGCCCAGAUCAAGAGCGGCGUGAGUGGGCGCUUCAACUACCAGUACUACACGGGGUGUGUGGCCUUCGCCAACGACUCCAGUUUGCCGCAGGAUGGCGCGUGCAGGGGCGUCGGCUGCUGCCGCAUCGACAUCCCACCGGGGCUCACCGACAACGUGAUCGACUUCGAGUCUGGCGGCUCCUGGACGCACGAAAACCAGGAGUUCUGCCCGUGCGACUACGCUUUCAUCACCAACAGGGGCUACUACAACUUCCAGAAGGCCCACCUUCGUCACAUGGACGUGAAUACCAGCAUGCCGCUGUCGCUAGACUGGGCCAUCCGUGACAAUGGCAGCCUAUCGUGCGCCGCGGCGGCGACCAAGCCGGGGUAUGCCUGCAUCAGUCGCCACAGCGAGUGCGUCGUCUCCGCCAAUGGCCCUGGCUACACCUGCAACUGCACCACAGGCCGCGAGGGCAACCCCUACGUCGUUGACGGGUGCACCGACAUAGAUGAAUGUGCACCUCAAGCAGGGUAUCCUUGCCGGGGUACAUGCAAGAACACCGACGGUUCAUACGAAUGCACCUGCCGUCCUGGUUAUCAGAGCAAUGACCCAUUUUAUGAACGCUGCACCCCCAGGUUCCCGUUGGCAGCACAGAUUUCCAUAGGUGUAGUAGGUGGGAUUCUUCUCAUAGUCAUUAUGACAUUCACUAUCAUUAUUAUCAAAGAGAAGAAGAAGAUUCAUGACACAUACAAAAGGAAUGGUGGUCCUGUAUUAGAGAAAGCUCGGACUAUAAAGCUUUUCAAAAAGGUUGACCUGCAGCAAAUUUUUAAAAAUGGCAAACUAAUUGGAAAAGGUGGCUUUGGUGAAGUUUACAAGGGCCUUCUCGGUGACGAAUUGGUUGCGGUAAAGAAACCGAUUAGUGGUAAUGUGCUAGAGAGUAAACAAUUUCCAAAUGAAGUCAUCAUCCAGUCUCAAAUAAUCCACAAGAACAUCGUUAGGCUCAUAGGUUGUUGCUUAGAAGUGGAUAGCCCCAUGCUAGUGUAUGAGUUCAUACCCAGAGGAAGCAUGGAUGACAUUCUUCACGGGGAGGAAAAGAAGCCUCUCAGCUUGGAUGUACGUCUAAAUAUUGCUGUAGAAUCAGCACAGGGUCUAGCUUAUAUGCAUUCUCAAACCAAUAAAGUAAUCUUGCACGGUGAUGUUAAGCCGGCAAACAUACUCUUGAACGAUGAGUUUGCCCCCAAGAUCUCCGACUUCGGCAUAUCAAGGUUGAUUGCAACAGACAAGGAACACACUGCAUUAGUCAUUGGUGAUAGGAGUUAUAUGGAUCCAGUGUACCUACAGACAGGCAUGUUAACCGCAAAAAGUGAUGUCUACAGUUUUGGAGUUGUGAUCCUAGAGCUUAUCAGCAGGAAGAAGGCCACUUACUCUGAAGAUAACAGCAUAGUGAAGAGUUUCCUUGAUGUUCACAAAGACAGGAAGAAAUCAACUGAGUUAUUUGACACAGAAAUUGCAGUAGAAGAAGAUUUGGACCUUCUUGUCAGUCUGGCAGAGCUUGCCGUGGAUUGUCUUAACCUUGAUGUGGAUCAAAGGCCGACAAUGACUGAUGUUGCGGAGCGUCUUGUCAUACUGAAACGUUGCCGUAAACCGUAA